UACGGGGGGAGCAAGCGUUGUUCGGAUUUACUGGGCGUAAAGGGCGCGUAGGCGGUAGCACAAGUCAGGGGUGAAAUCCUGGAGCUCAACUCCAGAACUGCCUUUGAUACUGGGGAGCUCGAGUCCGGAAGAGGGUAGUGGAAUUCCCGGUGUAGUGGUGAAAUGCGUAGAUAUCGGGAGGAACACCAGUGGCGAAGGCGACUACCUGGCCUGUUCUUGACGCUGAGGCGCGAAAAGCUAGGGGAGCAAACGGGG
rnacentral:rRNA from 1 species